rnacentral:rRNA from 1 species
CACGAGUUUGAUCCUGGCUCAGAACGAACGCUGGCGCAUGCUUAACACAUGCAAGUCGAACGAGACCUUCGGGUCUAGUGGCGCACGGGUGCGUAACACGUGGGAAUUUGCCUCGGGGUAUGGAAUAACUCAGGGAAACUUGAGCUAAUACCAUAUAAUGUCUUCGGACCAAAGAUUUAUCGCCCUGAGAUAAGCCCGCGUAGGAUUAGCUAGUUGGUGAGGUAAAGGCUCACCAAGGCGACGAUCCUUAGCUGGUCUGAGAGGAUGAUCAGCCACACUGGGACUGAGACACGGCCCAGACUCCUACGGGAGGCAGCAGUGGGGAAUAUUGGACAAUGGGCGAAAGCCUGAUCCAGCAAUGCCGCGUGAGUGAUGAAGGCCUUCGGGUUGUAAAGCUCUUAUACUCGGGACGAUAAUGACGGUACCGAGAGAAUAAGCCCCGGCUAACUCCGUG